GUCUAAAAUUACCGAAAUCCUGCUUUCCCAUAAAUUGUGUAUUAGCUUGGAUUUCUGUACCUGCAAGUCAACCUACACAAUGAUAGUAUCUCCAUGCUUGAACCCCAGGUGCAGAGAUGUGCUGAGCUUUGCCUCCCAGCAGUCUCUGGACUAGUUCCCCUACAAAAGGAAAAGGGAGUUUAAUAAAUGGGCCAGGUGUGUAAUCCAGCAUCAAUUUAGCCAGCAAAUUCUUCUGGUUCAAUGGUUGGAUCUAGCUCAAGUGCCCAUUGUGUGACUGCCUGCAGUAGUAUUACACGGGUGUCGCUCAGGCACAGAUAAUGAAAAAUAUUUUCUUUUAUUUUUUUUUUCCUGUGGGAGCGACUGUUAUGGUGUAAUGUAAAUGUAUGUCUUGGCGAGCACAUGGAAGGAAUUAAUGACGACAUCCCAAAUAUCAUGCUAUGGAAAACAAGUAAUCCGUACACAAUAACUCUGUUAGCUGGCUUCUAUGAAGAAUACUUCUGAGAAGCUUGAUGACAGUAAGUUGAUUGACAUCUCAGGAAAAAAAAAAAUACCCAAACCCAAAACAAAACCAACCCUCCUUGAUUGACAAUCUGUUUUUGAAUUCCUAGACGGCACUCGACUGGGCAGUGAAGCACGGCAAUCUUGAGAUGGCAGAGAUGGUCGCCAAAGCAGGCGUCGAUGUCAAUGCUAAAUCGAGUAAAACCAGUGAACUUAGACUGGUGAACAUGGGGUUGGAAUAUCCUCUAUGCAUGUUUUUCCAGUGGAAUUUACUCCUUAAGGUAAGUACCUGCAUGCAAAAUAAAGAUGCAAGUGUUCUAAUAUAACAUAAAUGUAGGUCCUGAUAUUAAUAUUAUUUUAUUGUAUUAACUUACUAUGUUUAGCAAUGUCACUGCAGUGGGGGGGUCUUAGCCCUGAUGCAAUGGGUGCAUUUAAAUUCAUAAUUUAAAUAAUAAUAUAUAAUAUUAUUAAUAUAUCUAUUUAUACAUAUUAUACAUAUAAUAAGUAAAAAUAAUUAAUUUUAAAUUAAUAAUCACAGAAGUAAUUUUUUUCCUUCAUGAUUUUUCCUUGCACCUAUACCUGAAGGUGGGUAGUGUGUGCCCAAAGCUGUUUCCUACCUCAUGAAACUGAAGUAAUUUGCAGAAUUACUAUCUUGAGUGGUAAUGAGAACACACAGUCCUGCAGGAUUUGGCUCUCUACACAUGUAUUGCAUGCCUAGAAAUGGAAACUGGCUUUAACUUCAUUGUUAGAAAUUUGAUCAUCUGCAUAAUAAUGCAGAAAGUAAAGGAGAAAUCACAGGCUCUGCUAAGAGUUUUUGGCAAGUUGAAAGAUACUCACUUCCAGUGAAAACUUCAUACUCUGUUUUCAGAUUGCAUUGCUGCACUAGCCCUGUCCAUUUUAUUCUUCAUGUUAAAUAAGCAGCACCCUAUUUUGUUCAGGCCAAGCUUUUCAUCUUUGAAGUUGGUAGUCACUUUUUCUGUCAAGCUCUUCCAUUGUUUAGGCCUGCUUCCAGUCCCAGCCCCAGUUUAUCACACCGCAAAUUUCCUCUCUCGCAUAUUCUUCCCUCUAGGUCAUUGAUAGUGAAAGCAAGCAAUAUGUUUCCUGGUGUUCAACCAUGUGGCACUUAAAAUGGACAGCUUUGCAUUUGUGGUCAAAGGGAAGACUUCAGCCUGCUUCUCCUUAGUCCCUAGGCAUCGUUUGGAGGACAUGUGCUCCUCUUCUUUCAAGCUACUCGACACAAGUUUGGUCCCAGCCCAGCAGGAGGUGGUGCCCCACUAGAAUGUCAGCUGUUUUGACAAAAGUUUGGCCCUUUUAACAAUUUUUAUGUGUACAAGGAAGAUCUAUCUGAUCUGUAGCAUUUGCCUUUUUGUCCACUAAGUGUAACUAUCAACUAACAUAAAGAAGCUAUAAUUACUAUGUAGCUAGAAUUACAAAAUAGAGUUUGUGGGGAACAUGCUCCAUCUUUUACAGCAGAGUAGUAAUGUUUAACAUCUCUUCUGCCUACUCAUAGCUUGGUACACAACAUAGCUAAAAUUGUAUAGAUCUCAUCAACCAAAGUGGCAUUCCCUUCAGACUAAAAAAGUCCUAGAUCCUAGUGAAUAUAAUAAAGAGAAAGAGUCUUUUCUCUUUGACA
ensembl:lncRNA